rnacentral:rRNA from 1 species
UCCCGUUGAUCCUGCGGGAGGUUGCUGCUAUUAGAGUUCGACUAAGCCAUGCAAGUCAGGUAGUAAUACCGGCAGACUGCUCAGUAACACAUCGAUGAUCUGCCCUUAGAUUCGGAAUAACCUUGGGAAACUGAGGGUAAAACCGAAUAGGAAAAAUCUGUUGAAUUCAGAUAUUUCUCAAAAGUAAUGUCUAAGGAUGAGUCGGCGGCCAAUUAGGCUGUUGGUGAGGUAAUGGCUCACCAAACCAGAGAUUGGUACGGGCCUUGAGAGAGGUAACCCGGAGAAGGGCACUGAGAUACUGGCCCUAGCCCUACGGGGUGCAGCAGGCGCGGAACCUUUACACUGCACGAAAGUGUGAUAAGGGGACUCUAAGUGCUUUAGUUUUACUAAGGCUUUUGUUAAGAGUAAAUAUCUUGGCGAAUAAGUGGUGGGCAAGACUGGUGCCAGCCGCCGCGGUAACACCAGCGCCACGAGUGGCAACCACAAUUAUUGGGCCUAAAGCGUCCGUAGCUGGUUCAGUAAAUUUUUUGUGAAAUUGUUAGGCUUAACCUAGCAACGAGCAAGAAAGACUGCUGAACUUGAGACCAGAGGGGGUAAGAUGUAUUUUGAGGGGAGCGGUAAAAUGCUAUAAUCCUCAGAAGACGACCUGUGGCGAAGGCGUCUUACCAAUAUGGUUCUGACAGUGAGGGACGAAAGCUAGGGGAGCAAUCCGGAUUAGAUACCCGAGUAGUCCUAGCUGUAAACGCUGCGAGCUAGGUGUUGCAUAUUCUUCGUGAAUAUGCAGUGUCGAAGCGAAGGUGAUAAGCUCGCCGCCUGGGAAGUACGGUCGCAAGACUGAAACUUAAAGGAAUUGGCGGGGGAGCACUACAAGGGGUGCGGCGUGCGGUUUAAUCUAACUCAACGCAGAGAAUCUCACCAGGGGCGACGGCAGGAUGAAAGUCAGUUUUAAGAGCUUACUAGACGAGCCGAGAGGUAGUGCAUGGCCGCCGUCAGCUCAUGCCGUAAGGUGUCCUGUUAAGUCAGGUAACGAGCAAGACCUGCACUUACAAUUGCCAGCGAGCAUUUAUGUGAUCGGGCACAUUGUAAGGACUGCCUUGGAAACAAGGAGGAAGGUGCAGGCUACGGUAGGUCUGUACGCUCCGAAUCCUUUGGGCUACACGCGCGCGACAAUGGUAAGGACAAUGGGACACAACUCCGAGAGGAGAAGUUUAUCCUCUAAACCUUAUCCAAGUUCAGAUUGAGGUUUGUAACUCAGCCUCAUGACGCUGGAAUCCCUAGUAAUCGGACGUUAAUAUCGUCCGGUGAAUAUGUCCCUGCUCCUUGCACACACCGCCCGUCAAACCUCCCGAGUAGGGUUUAGAUGAGGCCUGAUUUAUAAUCAGUUCGAAUCUAAACUCAGCGAGGAGGGUUAAGUCGUCACAAGGUA